CAGUAGCGUAUAUUAAAGUUGUUGCAGUUAAAAUGCUCGUAGUUGAAGUUCGGAUGCAGCAGAGCUUGGAAACGCUGUUAUGGUGCUUCCGUUGCUUUUGCUUGUCCACAGUGCGUUGCAAGUACGUAUGUGCUUGUGCGUGCAUUUUACUUUGAGAAACAUACGGUGUUCCACGCAUGUUACGGCAUGAAUAUUCCAGCAUGGGAUAAUCUGGUACGACUUCCAAUCUGCCAUUUUGGUUCGUAGGUUGGAAGUAAUGAUUAAUAGGGACUGUCGGGGGCAUUGGUAUUUGACUGUCAGAGGUGAAAUUCUUAGAUUCGUUGAGGACCAACCACUGCGAAAGCAUUUGUCAAGGAUGUCUCCAUUAA
rnacentral:rRNA from 1 species